UGGUUCGUAACAGCUGGCCAAUCACAGAGCGCGGCGGCGGCAGUCUAUCUUUGGGGUUUCCGGUCUGAAGAAUGUCAACUAUUCAACAUGGAGACCACCGUCGAAAAGCUAGAGGCGAUGUUCCAGAAGUCUGAGGCGGACCUGGACUACAUCGAGAAACGGCUGAAGCUGGACUUCAUCAACGCCCACCACACCGGAGAUGGGGCCCCAGCCGAGGAAAAUCUAGUUGGGAUGCUGGAUUCCCUGAGUCAGAUCAAGGCCAAACACGCAGCACUGUCCACACAGGUACAGGAGAUCGCCACCGCCCAGAAGGAGUCCAUGGACUCUAUCAGAGGCCAGCUGGAUGGUACUCUGCAGCUCAUUCAGCACUUCCAACAGACAGACAAUUCUAAGAUCUCCCCAUUGACUGAAGAAGCACAGGAGGCAGCGGAGCUCAUCGCCCAGGGUCCUUCGCAAAGCAUGACAGAUGUUACACCAGUUGUCAAACAAUAGCAGCAACAAAAAACAUCUAGGACAGACAGGUUGGCGGACGUUAGUUGACCGACCAACACUUUCGACUGCGCCAGCAUCUGUCCCCUUAAAUGCAGGAGGGACAAUCAUCUCCCAGCACCUCCACUAUCAAGAGGUUUUAUUCCUGCAGAUGCUGAAGAAGUUCAACCUGCCGCAGAAAAUGAUGGUCAAGUUGUACAUCAUGGAGUCCAUCAACAUCCUUAUAUUGUGAUGCUUUGUCUUUUAUUCUGCAACCUAACCAAGUCACCCUCCGUGAAUGUGCAAGGAAUUCAGAUUCUUUUCAACGUUCUGUAAACGAUGUGACAUUGAAUCCAUUAAAAGAUGCUCCCCCCAGA